rnacentral:rRNA from 1 species
GACGAACGCUGGCGGCACGCUUAACACAUGCAAGUCGAACGGAGUUAUUCGGAGCUUGCUUUGGAUAACUUAGUGGCGGACGGGUGAGUAACACGUGAGCAACCUGCCUUUCAGUGCGGAAUAGCUUCUGGAAACGGAUGGUAAUACCGCAUAACGUUACGGGACCGCAUGAUUCUGUAACCAAAGAUUUAUCGCUGAAAGAUGGGCUCGCGUCUGAUUAGAUAGUUGGUGGGGUAACGGCCUACCAAGUCGACGAUCAGUAGCCGGACUGAGAGGUUGAACGGCCACAUUGGGACUGAGACACGGCCCAGACUCC